rfam:Trachymyrmex cornetzi contig25777, whole genome shotgun sequence.
UUAAGUUAGAAUUAAUUACCUUAGGGAUAACAGCGUGAUAAUUUUGGAAAGGUCAUAUUGAUAAAAUUGAUUGCGACCUCGACGUUGAAUUAAGAUAAAAAUUAAAUGUAGAAGUUUAAUGUUUGAGUCUGUUCGACUUUUAAAAUCUUACAUGAUUUGAGUUUAGAUCGGCGUAAGCCAGAUCGGUUUCUAUCUAUAUUA